GGGCCACCACCAGCAUCUGCGGCAGGGAGAAUCGCGUUGGUUCGACGCAAACGCUACCCGGCGCCCCCUUGCCCUUGGGGCCGGCUAUUUUACCGCACCCGUUCUCCCCUCUCUACCGCAGAUCAGAUCACACUCGUAGAGAGAAGGAAAAAUAUCCCCAAACCCUAGCUCCCGAUCUCGAUGGCGAACCCUCGCGUCUUCUUCGACAUGACCGUCGGCGGCGCCCCGGCGGGCCGGAUCGUGAUGGAGCUGUACGCCAACGAGGUGCCCAAGACCGCGGAGAACUUCCGCGCGCUGUGCACGGGCGAGAAGGGCGUGGGCAAGUCCGGGAAGCCGCUCCACUACAAGGGCUCCACCUUCCACCGCGUCAUCCCCGAGUUCAUGUGCCAGGGCGGCGACUUCACCCGCGGCAACGGCACCGGCGGCGAGUCCAUCUACGGCGAGAAGUUCCCCGACGAGAAGUUCGUGCGCAAGCACACCGCCCCCGGUGUGCUCUCCAUGGCCAACGCCGGGCCCAACACCAACGGCUCCCAGUUCUUCAUCUGCACCGUCGCGACCCCUUGGCUCGACGGCAAGCACGUCGUCUUCGGCCAGGUCGUCGAGGGCAUGGACGUCGUCAAGGCCAUCGAGAAGGUGGGCACCCGCAACGGCUCCACCUCCAAGGUGGUCAAGGUCGCUGACUGCGGACAGCUCUCCUAGAUCUCUCUGAUCUGGUCUGUUCGGCCGCCCUCCCUCCGUCAUCGUCGACUCCCCCUGCGUCCGUUCCUUUGGAUCUGAAUAAGAUGGUGGUGAUCUGAGUGGUGGUCUUAGUUUAUCAUGUAUCGCUCGCAGUUUAAUUUAGCGGUUUAGGUGUGGAUCUGUGAACCCCAUGGCGCCUCUGCUUGAUUCGUGUUUCACCUGUUAUGUUCUGAGAUUCAUGAUAAUGCUAUGAGAACUGAAAUUCCCGUUUCAUGCUUCUUAAAUCUUUGACCUCUGCGGUUGUGCCAUACGUUUUUAUUUUCCAUUCCGAGAUCUAGGCCACAAAAUGAUUCUGGUUGUUAGUGUUUUAAUGUGAACUGCCAAGCAUGGAUCACCCAACCUUUGCG
rnacentral:lncRNA from 1 species